rnacentral:rRNA from 1 species
AGCGAACGCUGGCGGCAGGCCUAACACAUGCAAGUCGAGCGCCGUAGCAAUACGGAGCGGCAGACGGGAGAGUAACACGUGGGAACGUACCCUUCAGUACGGAACAACCAAGGGAAACUUUGGCUAAUACCGUAUACGUCCGUAAGGAGAAAGAUUUAUCGCUGAAGGAUCGGCCCGCGUCUGAUUAGCUAGUUGGUGAGGUAAAGGCACACCAAGGCGACGAUCUGUAGCGGGUCUGAGAGGAUGAUCCGCCACACUGGAACUGAGACACGGUCCAGACUCCUACGGGAGGCAGCAGUGGGGAAUUUUGGACAAUGGGGGCAACCCUGAUCCAGCCAUGCCGCGUGAGUGAUGAAGGCCCUAGGGUUGUAAAGCUCUUUCGACGGGGACGAUAAUGACGGUACCCGCAGAAGAAGCCCCGGCUAACUUCGUGCCAGCAGCCGCCGUAA